rnacentral:rRNA from 1 species
AGUGAACGCUGGCGGCAGGCCUAACACAUGCAAGUCGAACGGCAGCACAGGGGAGCUUGCUCCCUGGGUGGCGAGUGGCGGACGGGUGAGGACAACGUCGGAAUCUGCCUUUUUGUGGGGGAUAACGUAGGGAAACUUACGCUAAUACCGCAUACGACCCCAGGCCGGGAGGUUUGGGGUGAAAGCGGAGGACCUUCGGCGUUCGCGCAGAAAGAUGAGCCGACGUCGGAUUAGCUAGUUGGUGGGGAAAGGACCCACCAAGGCGACGAUCCGUAGCUGGUCUGAGAGGAUGAUCAGCCACACUGGAACUGAGACACGGUCCAGACUCCUACGGGAGGCAGCAGUGGGAAUAUUGGACAAUGGGCGCAAGCCUGAUCCAGCCAUGCCGCGUGUGUG